rnacentral:lncRNA from 1 species
GAAGAGUCGUUAAGAAGGUCAAGCAGACACGAAGUUUUGAUGUCCGAGAAGGUGCAAACCUGCACGUAGCAUGGCAGCAAUCUUGUUGUUUCUUACUGAUAACAAGAGAAAGUCCACUCUGUCGAAGAAAAUAACAACUUUAUCUCAAUUUCGUGUCAAUAUGGAGUUCGGAAGAACAAAGCUAAACCAACAGGGGACAUUCCAAAAUUCCCGAUUGAAUACGCCCGCUAUUGAUAAGAGAUCUCUCGUCCACAUUAUUGAUAGCAAAAAACGGCAAUAAAAGGUCGAGAAAUUUUAGAAGAGUCAGUCAGUUAGAAAGGUCAGUCAGAAGGGUCAGGUCGUUUG